rnacentral:rRNA from 1 species
GAUGAACGCUAGCGGCAGGCCUAAUACAUGCAAGUCGAACGAUAUUUUCCAGCUUGCUGAGAUGAAAGUGGCGCACGGGUGCGUAACGCGUAUGCAACCUACCUUAAUCAGGGGGAUAGCCCGAAGAAAUUCGGAUUAACACCGCAUAAAAAUACAGGGUAGCAUUACCUAAUGUUCAAAUAUUUAUAGGAUUAAGAUGG